UACGUAGGUGGCGAGCGUUGUCCGGAUUUAUUGGGCGUAAAGCGCGCGUAGGCGGCCCGUUAAGUCGGAUGUGAAAACCCGGGGCUCAACCCCGGGCCUGCAUUCGAUACUGGCGGGCUCGAGGCAGGCAGGGGAGAGUGGAAUUCCUGGUGUAGCGGUGAAAUGCGCAGAUAUCAGGAGGAACACCGGUGGCGAAGGCGGCUCUCUGGGCCUGUCCUGACGCUCAGGCGCGAAAGCUAGGGGAGCAAACAGG
rnacentral:rRNA from 1 species